AUUGAACGCUGGCGGCAUGCUUUACACAUGCAAGUCGGACGAGUGGCGAACGGGUGAGUAACGCAUCGGAACGUACCGAGCAAUGGGGGAUAACUGUCCGAAAGGACAGCUAAUACCGCAUAUUAUUCGAGCGGCCGAUGCCUGAUUAGCGGGUUGGCGGGGUAAAGGCACACCAAGGCUACGAUAAGUAGCGGGUCUGAGAGGAUGGUCCGCCACACUGGGACUGGGACACGGACCAGACUCCUACGGGAGGCAGCAGUGGGGAAGUUUGGACAAUGGGCGCAAGCCUGAUCCAGCCAUGCCGCGGGAGUGAUGACGGCCUUCGGGUUGUAAAGCUCUGUUAAUCGGGACGCGGUACCGGAAUAGAAAGCCACGGCUAACUACGUGCCAGCAGCCGCGGUAAUAC
rnacentral:rRNA from 1 species